GGGAAAGUGGCUCAGUGCUAGAGUGCUUGCCUUGCAUGCAUGAGGCCCUAGGUUUGAUUCCUUAGCACCA
rnacentral:tRNA from 1 species